rnacentral:rRNA from 1 species
GAUGAACGCUGGCGGCGUGCUUAACACAUGCAAGUCGAACGAAGCACUUGAGAUUGAAUCUUCGGAUGAGAACUCUUGUGACUGAGUGGCGGACGGGUGAGUAACGCGUGGGUAACCUACCUCAUACAGGGGGAUAACAGUUGGAAACGACUGCUAAUACCGCAUAACCCGCUAGUAUCGCAUGAUACGGACGGAAAAGAUUUAUCGGUGUGAGAUGGACCCGCGUCUGAUUAGCCAGUUGGCAGGGUAACGGCCUACCAAAGCGACGAUCAGUAGCCGGCCUGAGAGGGUGAACGGCCACAUUGGGACUGAGACACGGCCCAA